AAGGUCAGGAAAAACAUUUUCGGCAUAUUUUACUUUUUUAUAAAAGGUAAGAAUGGUGUUCAGACGAGAAAAAGUUAUGCGAAGUCUAUGGAGAAGGUG